GAUGGGAGCUUGCUCCCUGAUGUUAGCGGCGGACGGGUGAGUAACACGUGGGUAACCUGCCUGUAAGACUGGGAUAACUCCGGGAAACCGGGGCUAAUACCGGAUGGUUGUUUGAACCGCAUGGUUCAAACAUAAAAGGUGGCUUCGGCUACCACUUACAGAUGGACCCGCGGCGCAUUAGCUAGUUGGUGAGGUAACGGCUCACCAAGGCAACGAUGCGUAGCCGACCUGAGAGGGUGAUCGGCCACACUGGGACUGAGACACGGCCCAGACUCCUACGGGAGGCAGCAGUAGGGAAUCUUCCGCAAUGGACGAAAGUCUGACGGAGCAACGCCGCGUGAGUGAUGAAGGUUUUCGGAUCGUAAAGCUCUGUUGUUAGGGAAGAACAAGUACCGUUCGAAUAGGGCGGUACCUUGACGGUACCUAACCAGAAAGCCACGGCUAACUACGUGCCAGCAGCCGCGGUAAUACGUAGGUGGCAAGCGUUGUCCGGAAUUAUUGGGCGUAAAGGGCUCGCAGGCGGUUUCUUAAGUCUGAUGUGAAAGCCCCCGGCUCAACCGGGGAGGGUCAUUGGAAACUGGGGAACUUGAGUGCAGAAGAGGAGAGUGGAAUUCCACGUGUAGCGGUGAAAUGCGUAGAGAUGUGGAGGAACACCAGUGGCGAAGGCGACUCUCUGGUCUGUAACUGACGCUGAGGAGCGAAAGCGUGGGGAGCGAACAGGAUUAGA
rnacentral:rRNA from 2 species